CAUCAUUUCAAAAUAAUCAAAUUUCAAAAUAACAAAAUGUUUUUAGAAGCCAUGGUUAUUGGUUGUUAACACUUCAUUUUCAGUGCCGCCGCUGGCAGGCGCUGCGGUCGCCGUCGCGGCGGCUCCUCCGCGCCGCUCCAGUCGCUCGCUCGCGCCGCCAGUCGCGUCUCUGGCCGCUCGCGCGUGGUGUGCGCGGUGCGCGGUUCACGCGGCGGUGAGGAGCGAUGUCGGUGUGCGGUGGGCCGACCAGCUGAGCGCAGCCUUGGUCAGGAAUGGGCGACGAUGGUCAGAUGGAGUGUCGGUUUGACAUGGCUCGUUGUGUGUCUUUUGCUACUAGGUAUGUCGCAGUCCAGCUGCCGUCAGCGCCAAAGAAUGCGGCCGGCGGCGCGGUGACCUGAGGUCACAACGGAUCGUGGGCGGAUCACGCAGCUGGCGUGGCGAGUGGCCCUGGCAGGUGUCGCUGCACCAGCGUAACCCUCAUACGGGACAGCUGCUGAGCCAGCACUGCGGCGGUACCCUGAUCGACCCCGGCUGGGUGCUCACCGCCGCCCACUGCAUUGUCGACCCACUCUUUGGAUUCACCAUCCCUCCUGUAUUCUGGAUAGUCAAGAUGGGACACAUCGAGCUCAACGACAAAACACCACCGAUGCUGGCGGGCGUCUCAAAGAUCAUCACUCAUAAG